UAUUAUAGAAUUUUCAUGACUGAUUUGACUAGUGAGUCCCACUAACAUACGGUCAUUUGCGUAAGCAGAGCAUUCACUUAGGAACACACCCUGAAAUCGCAAUUACAUAUCACCGUAUAGCAGCUCCUUUUCCUAUUAUGACUUAGAAAGAAAACACGUUAUCUUUCUUCUGUAUCCGACUGCCGUGCAACAUUGAGAGCCACCUCAUAACUUUCCCUCGAGUGAUUCUUUCCCUUUGUUAAUUGUUUGGCUUCCAUGUUAAUGUCGUUUAAUAUUCCAGCCAAGAUGAGAGAUGUGGUCACACAUGUUGCUCUUGAACAAAGAAGAUCAGCAGAAAAUCUUCCAUGACUUUUUAAGUCUAUUACUGAAGAAGUUAAUCAAGAUUAACCAUUGUUCAUUACUCAUUAAUCAUUGUCAUACUUAUAAGCAUUAAUCACAGAAAAAUGGAGAUUACUAAGUAGAAGUGACUGGCAAUAAAUAAGAUUAGAUUUUUUGCAAAGUUAUUCAGUUAUUUUCAUAAUUAAAGUUAUUGGAACAGGUUAGGAUGUACAAGAAUUCUGUAAAAAAUGGAGAACAUUCUUUGCUUCAAUAACUACUUUGCAUUAUUCCAAAUGAUGCUGCUGUAGACAAGUAGCUGAAUAAACCGUAUGGAUUUGGUUGAGUUUUCAGCAUUUAACAUUUAUUAUCAGGGAAAGCACACCAAAUUUCAAUAGCUAGUUUAUUUUCAAUUACCUACUCAGAUUUAUUGCACAAACAUACACAAAUAAUCCAUAAGACCAUAAGACAUGGGAGCAGAAAUGAGGUUAUUCAGCCCAUCGAAUCUGCUCUGCUACUCAACCGUGGCCAAUAGGCUUUUCACCCCAUUUUCCCACUUUCUCCCCAUAACCUUUGAUCCCCUUGGUAAUCAAGAACUUACCUAUCUUAUCUAUCGAACAAAUAAGGGCAUAUGAAGGUAUAUAUGUUAUAUGUUAGUAGUGUAGGAGAUUUGCAUACCCUCAUGGGGGAAUGGUUUCUUAUAGAAUACACACUUUCCCACAUAUAGCAAUCCUUGAACAUAAAUGCAGUGAAGGUAUAUUUAGGAUGAAGAGUGCUCAAUGGCAGGUCCAGGAUGUCCUGUGGUCUGCAAUAUUUCUUGAGACUUGUGAGAAUGGGAUAAUACAUUUCAAUAGAUUAUAAUACUGUCAAGUCCAUGGCAUAGUCGAGAGUGUGUUGCUGGAAAAGAACAAGACGUCAGGCAGCAUCUGUGGAGCAGAAGAGGCUUGUGGA